ensembl:lncRNA
CAUAAGAGCUGGGAGGCCAGGUUUGAAUUCAGAAUUCCAGGGCUCUCUGGAGUUCCACUCCAGAAUGUGGCAGAGCUCGUUCAGAAUGUGGGGAGAGCUCAUCCAGGUCAAGGCCUGGCCCCUUGCCUGUGUCCCCACAACUUCCUCUGGCACUGCCAAGGCCUCUGCUGCGCACACGCAGACACCCGGCCCGAAGUCCCAGUUCCACCCACCCUUCCACGGAGAGCUGCCCCUGGCGGCCCACACACCUGCACACUUGAUUUGGGUCACCUUUGGAGGACGUACCCAGGAAGGAGCUCUGAGAGGAAGCCCCCUGCCAUUUGGGCAGGAAAUUCAGAGUCCCAGGUCAGGGCUCCCAGAGCAGGUGCCCCAAGACAGGAAGUGAAAGCUGCCAGACACUUAAAGCCCGGACCCGGGAACCAGGACAGCAGCCCUUCCACCAUUCCCUAUCAGUCAACUGGCUCUAGAUCCCAACCUCGUUCACAGAGAAGGGACAGAGAGUCCACAUCUCAAUGGGAAAAGGAGCAAAGAACUGUGGCCAUCUUUAAUCUAUCACAGAUGGAAAAUUUACAGAUACUUGCCUCACUUGAGUCAGUCCACUCAACCAAUUGAAGUUCCUAAUGAGUGUAAUGUGUGUCCUGAGGUAUUGAUGGGAAGAUCAAUGGACUUUCAGAGAACCUCAACCUUCCUUCAUGAAGCUCAAAGUCUAGUGAAGGGAAUAAGGAAGAUAUCCAGCGGUGUGCUGGUGAAGAAGCUGAGGCCCAAAGAGGUGAGGGACUUGGACAGCAGCAUGUGGUGGAGCGCGUGCUCCCUCCUACCCAACGCUUUGGCCUUGGAAUGUCCAGCCCACUGGAGAUAUGAAACUUGCACUCAUGAGAUAAUCGGCAGGAAAUAAAGAGAGCUCUUUCUGUGACCUUCUCCAACUCAACAACCCCAACGACACUGGGUCUGACGGAGCUCUUCGGGAACCCCAUCAGGACAACCCCUUUCACCUGUAAGUGUUUAUUGCACAAGAGCAACCCUCACAGUCGACCCAGGUGAAGCCACCCCCCCUCACAGGUAACCGAAAUACACCUGGGCCGCCUCUGAGUUGAACUCAAAUGGAACAUGGCGCUCUCCCAAAGCCUCGACAAUUUUCCUAAAGUCUCUUGAAGAGGGAGAGACAGGAGGACAGAAAGGAGAGGCGCUCGGGAACCGUAUGCCAAACCCGCAGCCCACGGUCCACUUCCUGAAAACCCUGGUACCCACUUCUCUCUCCAGAGCCCCACAACCACAGGGCGGGCGCUCCUCCGCCUUCCCCUCACGCUCAAACUCCGCGGGGCCCGCUGGCUCCUCGAGCACUCAGCCCCGCUUCCCCGCUCUCUCCCGCACACCCUGCCAACAGUUUCCUUCCGAGAGUAGCCCUAAGUGCUUUCUUUUGAAAAUCAAUUUAGCCUCUCUAACCUCUAGCAUUUUCCUGUGGCCUCCUCAGCCAUUAUCCCAAUUAACACAACAAAGGGCCGGGUUCGGAAGGCCGUGCAGAGUCAAGGGGAAAGGCUGUGAAUAAAAACCUGUUUGUCACUGUCGUUUGUCUUAUUGGGUGUGAUGGAAGAUUCUGAGCCGCAGCUGAGGGCACCUGGCUUUCACCUCAGCCCAGUCGUUCAUUACGUGUGCGACCUCCCUCCAACAGGUCGUUUAACAGUAGGACCUUCACUUAAGAAUAGAAACUGGGGAUAGCGGCUCCCCCCUGUGGGAUGAGAGACACUGUGAACUUUGAACCUGCCAGGUCUGGAGAUGAAGAGGGAUAGCCAGGAUCCUGUUUUGGACAAAAAGCAUCACCGAGUCUCACCCUGAGGAAACAGAUCCAAACUGAAGAACAUUUCCCAAAACAACGGGUCUGUGGUCCUCAGAAAUGCCAAGGUUUUCUGUAAGUGUGAAAGUAUUUCAAGACAAAAAGUUAAAAAAAAAAAAACACAGUGAUACACAAGAGCUCUGAGGUCACGAAUUUUAAUCUAUUGAAGAAGCUUGUUACUCCAUCCAUUCAUUGCACAGACAUUUACCGAGCGCCUACUGUGUGCCAGACAUGGCUCGGAAUUCGGAUGCAGGGAACAAGGACCCAGUCUAGAAAGCUAGGCCGGGUCAGGGCUGUUGUGGGUUUCACACUUGUUCCCCCAGCCCGCUUCGGCCUCCAGGCUCUCAUUGUCGCAGAGGAGGCUGGUGCUGCUGCCAGGAGGCCCUUCCUGGAAACUGCCCCCACCUGGAGACAUCUACUUCCCCCGAGGUUUCGCCUCCUCCCAGCAUCUACCGACUGAUUAUUUGGGGGUGUCGUUCAAGGCCUGCCCCUUGCCUGGACUCGGGAUAACUCUAAAGGCUAUCCCAGCUUCGGAUCUCCCACAGGGUCAGCUCAGACCCCCACUGAGACAACACCUCAGUUCAAUGUCUCUCCUUGCCCAAAGCACCCUACACAACCUCUGUCUCCGAGUUUGUGUCCAGGGAGCCUGAUCAAUAAUUGAGUCCCAACAGGAAACAAAUGCCACAGCCAGAUUAGGGGCCCCAGAAGCAGUUCAACCCAUGCAUCCUUCCAGCAGGCUGGCCACUCCCACCUGCAGAGCGGAAAUGGUCCUGCUUCUGCCACCAUUUCUAUGUCAUAAAAAACCCUAAAACUUGGUGACUCAAAACAACAAAAAUGUAUUAUUUCUCACAACUGUGGGUUGAUCGUGGUCCUUCUGCUUUGUGUGGUGUCAGCUGGGACACUGGGAAGGCUGGAAGGCACCAAGUGUCCACACUCCCCCGGCUUGGCUGCAGGUGGAAGUUCAGGGGUGCUCCCCUCCUCUCUGCUGGGGCCUCCCCACUCGGCUACUUGGGCUUCCUCACAGAAUGGCAGUCAGGUUCCAAGAAGCAAAGACAGAAGCUGCAGAUCUCUGCGGCCUUGGGACCUACACAGCAUCACUUGCGCUGCAUCCCACUCCUCGAAAGAAGUCAGAGGCCAGCCCCGAUGCAAGGGCAGGGAAUUAGAUCUAGUCUCUGAAUGCAGAGAAGUGGCAAAGAAUGGUGGUCAUCCUGAGAGGCAGAGACAAAACAACCGCAUGGCAAAGGCUGAAGACCCCCACGUGACCGCUGCCCCAUUGCCCAACAGUGUUCCUGCCAGCCAUGUCGUGACUGACGUUAGCAGGGACUUCCCACCUGUGGUUGUGCUUCUGCACACGUCCCAGCCCUCUCAGGCCUACCCUUUCAGUACUCCGCGUGCAGUGCAAGCCAGGGGUCCAGACCAAUGUGGUCACCUUGGCGCUUGAUUUUUAGUGGUCUCUUGGCCUUCAGAUUUUAAACUCCCAGGUGACACAAACUAUAUCUUCUAAAAUGCUCUGUCCAUCUUAGUGAAAGUCAUUUUGCCCUUCCCCUGGGGAAUUGUAGUUAACAAGUGUGAUCCAUGUUUAAAUUAUGUAUCUGUGAACAUAUAAAUUAUAUACCCAUAUUUGCAAGGCUGCCACCUUGCACAACUCCAUGGAGGCACCAUUCACACAAUAGGCUUUGUAAAUGGUGUCCCCUGGAGUUAUGCAG